rnacentral:rRNA from 1 species
AUUGAACGCUGGCGGAAUGCUUUACACAUGCAAGUCGAACGGCAGCACGGACUUCGGUCUGGUGGCGAGUGGCGAACGGGUGAGUAAUGUAUCGGAACGUGCCCAGUCGUGGGGGAUAACGUAGUGAAAAUUACGCUAAUAACGCAUACGAUCUAUGGAUGAAAGCGGGGGAUCGCAAGACCUCGCGCGAUUGGAGCGGCCGAUAUCAGAUUAGGUAGUUGGUGGGGUAAAGGCCCACCAAGCCAGCGAUCUGUAGCUGGUCUGAGAGGACGACCAGCCACACUGGAACUGAGACACGGUCCAGACUCCUACGGGAGUCAGCAGUGGGGAAUUUUGGACAAUGGGCGAAAGCCUGAUCCAGCCAUUCCGCGUGCAGGAUGAAGGCCCUCGGGUUGUAAACUGCUUUUGUACAGAACGAAAAGGUUUCUACUAAUACUAGGAGCUCAUGACGGUACUGUAAGAAUAAGCACCGGCUAACUACGUGCCAGCCGCCGCCGUAA